UCAGCAUCACCUCCCUGUUGU
rnacentral:miRNA from 1 species